rnacentral:tRNA from 1 species
UCCCUUCUAGCUUAAUAUAGAUGAAAGCACUAGUUUGAAGAGCUGGAGAUACCUAGGUGUGGUGGG